rnacentral:rRNA from 1 species
ACUAAUCCUAGCCCUAACAAAAAUAAAUUCAAUUAUAUAAUUUUAUAAAACAAAACAUUUAGUUAACUAAAUUAAAGUAUUGGAGAAAGAAAUAUAAUUUAGGAGCCAUAGACAAAGUACCGUAAGGGAAAGAUGAAAGAUUAAUUAAAAGUACAAAUAAGCAAAGAUUAAACCUUGUACCUUUUGCAUAAUGAAUUAACUAGAAAUACUCUAACUAAAAGAAUUUAAGCUAGAAACCCCGAAACCAAACGAGCUACCUAAAAACAAUUUUAUGAGUUAACCCGUCUAUGUAGCAAAAUAGUGGGAAGAUUUUUAGGUAGAGGUGAAAAGCCAAACGAGCUUGGUGAUAGCUGGUUACCCAAAAAUGAAUCUAAGUUCAACUUUAAAUUUACUUAAAGAAUAUUAAAUCCAAAAGUAAUUUUAAAUUAUAGCCUAAAGGGGGACAGCUCUUUAGGAAUGGAAAAAACCUUCAACAGUGAAUAAACAACAAAAAAAAAUAAUCAUUGUAGGCCUAAGAGCAGCCACCAACAAAGAAAGCGUUCAAGCUCAACAUAAAAUUAUAACUAAUUUAACAAAACAAAAUAAUUUCCUAAAAUUUAAAUUGGGUUAAUCUAUAAUUUUAUAGAUGAGACACUGUUAAUAUGAGUAACAAGAAUUCUAAUUCUCCAAGCAUAAGUGUAUAACAACUCGGAUAACCAUUGUUAAUUAUCAGACCUUAGGUUACAAUUACAACAUAAAAAUUACCUGACCCUACUCUGUUAAUCCAACACAGGAAUGCUUUAAGGAAAGAUUGAAAAAAAUAAAAGGAACUCGGCAAACUAAAAUCCCGCCUGUUUACCAAAAACAUCACCUCUAGCAUGAUAAGUAUUAGAGGCAUUGCCUGCCCAGUGACUAAAGUUCAACGGCCGCGGUAUCCUGACCGUGCAAAGGUAGCAUAAUCACUUGUUCCUUAAUUAGGGACUAGAAUGAAUGGCUAAACGAGGAUUUAACUGUCUCUUAUUUUUAAUCAGUGAAAUUGACCUUUCAGUGAAGAGGCUGGAAUAUAAUAAUAAGACGAGAAGACCCUAUGGAGCUUAAAUUACAUAACUUAAUUAUUAAAUCUAUUAAUCUAAUGAAACUAAAGUAUAUAAUAUAAGUUACAAAUUUCGGUUGGGGUGACCUCGGAGAAUAAAUUAUCCUCCGAAUGAUUAUAACAUAGACUAACAAGUCAAAGUAAAAUUGAUUUAUCUUAUUGACCCAAAGUAUUUUGAUCAACGGACCAAGUUACCCUAGGGAUAACAGCGCAAUCCUAUUUAAGAGUUCAUAUCGACAAUUAGGGUUUACGACCUCGAUGUUGGAUCAGGACAUCCCAAUGGUGUAGAAGCUAUUAAUGGUUCGUUUGUUCAACGAUUAAAGUCCUACGUGAUCUGAGUUCAGACCGGAGUAAUCCAGGUCGGUUUCUAUCUAUUAACAAUUUCUCCCAGUACGAAAGGACAAGAGAAAUAGAGCCUCCUUACAAAUAAGCGCUCUCAACUUAAUUUAUUAAUAAUAUCUAAAUAAAGUAAAUAUGUACAUUUACCCACCUAGAUAAGGUU